GAACUAUCUAGUACCCAUGGGGCUUAGUGGGCACUUACUGUUUUUACGUGUAAGUAGCUACUUAGUAAUUGUCAAUUAUGCUAGGAAGUAGAUAAACUGUUGUUUAAUUUUAGAGAAAUACCGAGCUUCUUGCUUUUACAUACAGUCAGGGAAGUGCAUACACAAGUUGUUUUGAGUCAGCCUGGCCGCUGUGUGAGCCUAGUAGCUUGCCGCAUGGCUCCCUUUGCUAAUUUAGAUGUGCUGCGUGCUUGACGGUGGCUUCAGACUUUCCCACCUCAGUUUCCCUCCUUGUCACUGAAAUCUGUGUUCAUACAUUGUGCCAAUUUAGAAAUUUUCAUGAGAUUUUUUCCAUCAUUUCAAUAUAGUCAUUCAGUUCUAUUACCAAAAACCCCUUCCCAGCCAAGUGCAAGUGGGUGUGAGAAGGUGGCUCUGUUCUUGUGUAGCCUGGAGCCACUUGUUCUCCAGCGCUCUCUGCUGUGGGAGUGCAAUGGCUCACUCAGCAGACUGAGCUGCAUCUCAUCUUCUCAGUUGUCAAGCCACAAAAGUCGGCCACGUGUCCUCUAUGCAACUUUACAGGCUCUAUAACUUGUUAGCAAAAUACCUUCAUUCAUAGAAAGACAUGAGAAAGCAAUGCCGAUGCAGGGCUUCCUGUAGGACUCUCACUGCAGAAGCAGAGUGUGGGAGAUGGGGUGUGGCUCCCCCUGCUGUGCACAGAGCCACAGUGCAUCCCCAGUACCACACCCACACAAAACCCAAAAAUGUGCUGUUACCCCAGCACUCAGAGAGUGGAGGCAGGUGGAUCACAAUCCAAGGCCAUCUUCAGCUACACAGCAAGUCUGAGGCCAGCUUGGGCCAGAGAAAAUAUCACACACACACACACACACACACACACACACACAAAGCCAAAUGCCAUGUGGAUCCCGUUGGUUCUGGUAACAGGAAGUAAAACUAUAUGUAAACUCUCUUCCUAAUUAGUUUCAAAUAUUAAUGCCUAAAAAAAGCUGUCACAUGCUUAGGAAAUGUAGUUUUUACUUGUUUGUUUAUGAAAGGCUUGUUCACUAUAUAGCCCAGGCUAAUGACAUGAUCAGAGGCUAAUGACAUGAUCAGAGGCGUUUGCUGCCACUGCUGGCUUAUCUUCUGAGAGGAUACAAAAGCCCACCAUCCCCCAGAGACUGUGUUAACUUGGGAAAGCCACACACUUCUCAAAUCUUGGGCCCCUUUGUACCAUCACCAUGCUAAGGCCUUCUUGUUGCUGGUAUAGUAUUUUAGGAUGGAAAAGUAAACAAAAGGGUUUCCAAAUAUAUUUAUUUAUUUAUUUAUUUAUUUAUAAAUAGUGAUACAUCUUCAUCUUUAAUAAAGUACAUGUUUUAUACAGUUUUUUAAAAAGUCUUGCCCUAGCCGAGCACUGGUGGUGCAUACCUUUAAUCCCAGCACUCGGGAGGCAGAGGCAGGUAGAUUUCUGAGUUCAAGGCCAGCCUGGUCAGUGAGUUCCAGGACAGCCAGGGCUACACAGAGAAACCCUGUCUCGAAAAAC
rnacentral:lncRNA from 1 species